rnacentral:rRNA from 1 species
AUUGAACGCUGGCGGCAGGCUUAACACAUGCAAGUCGAACGAGUGGCGGACGGGUGAGUAAUGCAUGGGAAUCUCGCUUAUGGAGGGGGAUAACUACGGGACACUGUAGAUAAUACUGCGUACCAUAGGAUGAGCCCAAGUGGGAUUAGGUAGUUGUGGAGUUAAGGGCUCACCAAGCCGACGAUCUCUAGCUGGUCGGAGAUGAUGACCAGCCCACCGUGGAUUGAGAGACGGCCCAGACUCCUACGGGAGGCGGCGGUGGGGAGUGUUGCGCAAGGGAGUCAACCUGGCGCAGCCAUGCCGCGUGAAUGAAGAAGGCCUUCGGGUUGUAAAGUUCUUUCGGUAGCGAGGCGUUAACUACAGAAGAAGCACCGGCUAACUCCGUGCCAGCAGCCGCGGUAAUAC